rnacentral:lncRNA from 1 species
UUACAUGUAAAGUAGGGAAAUUUUUAUUGGUAUAACAAAACACCAAAAUAUUAACGCCUUUUGUAACAAAAUCUGUAACGACCCAACUUUUCAAAGUAAGUCGAGAUCGUUAGUUUUUAACAAAUAAAAGACUUUGAUUAAUAUAAAACAAAACGUAAGCAAUUUAAAAAAAAAAACAUCUUCAAGUCAGGCCUGAUUUUUAAACAUUCAAGAAAACAUAAAAUAAUACUGUUUGCAACAAACGUUUGUAAACUAAAUUUUUAUCUCAAUCUUAAAUAAGCGGAAGCAAUUACACGUUUCCUAUGGCAUCACGCUUCCUUCCUGCCCCUCGCCGGUUUGCCGCCUUUAUUACCUUUGCCUGAAAAUUAAACAUAAGAAGGGUGAGUAUUUUAAAUACUCAGUAAGAGACCCUCUACUGGUCUCGUCAGGGGAAAAAUAAAUUGUUAAAGUUCUAUUGGGACACCCUGUACAGUCGCAGUCUUGUGAUCCCGUAGGAUACACAUCUCAGUCUAACGCCCCGAAGGACGUACAUAUCAGUCUGACGCCCCGAGGGACGUACAUAUCAGUCAAGUGUUCUGCAGAACACAUAUCAGUCAAAUGCUCCCGAAGGUGCAAAAUAAAUUGGUGAUCCCGUGGGACACCUACAAGGUAAUCAUCCCAAUACAACCUAACAAUUUAUCCCCUCAUUCCAUUCAACCCAUCUUUCAGAUACUUCAAAACAUAGAGUUCUUUCUCUCAACGUCCUAACAGUCAACUUAUCUCACUUUAGUCAUAUGUCUGUCAAUAAUAUACUACUAUGUCAGUCAAUCAAACUAUACAGUCAAUACACCCCUCAGAUCACCAGCACACAGUCAUACUUUAGCGUAACGACACCCAAUCUAAACGACAAUCACAAGAUCGCAUCUGCAUCUCAUACAAGCAUAAUCUACAAUUUUCGUCCUGUCCACAUCCACCCACAUAUAUAUAUAUUCCAUGACAAUCACAAUAUGCAUUCAACAUUAAGUCUACUUCAAUUCAUAUGCAUAUAUAUAUAUUUUCAGUCAAUCCACAGUAUACAUUCAACACCGAAUCUACACCCAUACGUGUAUAUACAUAUGUAUCAUCUCAACAUCUUUACUCAGUCAGGGAUAAUCAUUCAGACAUACAAUUCACAAUCAUAAGUGAGUCCAGUAGAAAAUCCCUUACUUUCAAAUUUGUUAAGCUCCUUAACCACGUUGAAGUCUAUGAAGAACGAACCUAAACAUUAAGACAAUUUCUCAAUAAUUCCCUUCAACGCAUCAGUCAUUUAAAUUCAACCCAAUGUGAAUCUUUUUGCAACUUACCCAAAUCUUCGCGAAAGAAAUCGAGCAGUGGCUUUGCGAAGAGAUGACGUGCGACGGAGAGACCGUAUACAGAUGGUCGGAGAGUCGCGCGGCAGUGCAGACAACGGAGGAGAAGGGAUCGGCGGCGGCUGGCUUGGACGGCGGUUGUGAGUGGCGGACGUGGCGGUUACUGGUUCACAUGGCGGCUCGGGCUUCGACGAAGACAGAACCGGCUGAGACGGCUGGGCAGCGGCGGAAGGUCUUGCGGUACAGAUCUGGACGGUGGUCGCAAGGUGACGCGUACGGCGGCCGCAAGGUGACGCGUACGGCUGCCUCACGAACUGGCCGAUGGUUGCAGCGACGUCCGGCUGGGUUUGACGGAACGGAGAGGAAAAGAGAAGAUGGAGAUGGCCGACGGCGGUUGCUGUGCGAACGGAUGGGGCGGCUGCUAGGGUACCGGAAGGAGAAGAAAAGAAAAAUGAGGGAGGGGUUGUGUGCGGCGCUCGCGCGAGAGGAAGAAGGAAGGAAAGAUAUAUUCUUUUCUUUUCUUUUCUUUUUAUUUAAAUUAAGUAUAAAAAUAUAUAUAUAUAUAUAAUUAAAAACAAAAUAUAUAUAUAUACAUACCUUUGGGGCAUUACAUUCUUCCCUCCUUAAGAAACUUUCGUCCUCGAAAGUUUUACUCCUGAAAUAACUCUGGAUAACGAGUCCUCAUCUCUUCCUCUCGCUCCCAUGUCGCCUCUUCAAUUCGAUGAUUCCGCCACAAAACCUUUACUAAUGGAAUGCUUCUAUUACGAAGCAUCUUUACCUCUCUAGCCAGAAUCUCCACAGGUUGUUCUACAUAGCUCAAAUGCUCAUCAAUCUCCAAGGGUUCAUAGUCCACUACAUGAGACGUAUCGGCCACAUACUUCCUCAACAUCGAAACAUGAAAAACAUUAUGAACUGCAGAGAGAGAUGGUGGUAAUGCCAAGCGAUACGCCACAACACCAACCCUCUCUAAGAUCUCAAAUGGUCCAACAAAACGAGGACUUAACUUUCCUUUCUUCUCAAAACGCAUAACACCCUUCAUAGGUGCUACCUUCAAGAAUACCUUUUCUCCCACAUCGAACUUAAGGUCUUUUCGUCGUACAUCCGCAUAACUCUUCUGUCUACUCUGCGCUGUUUGCAUACGUGCUCUAAUCUUUUGAAUAGCCUCAUUAGUAGACCGAACCAAUUCAGGUCCCAUCAAUCUAUGUUCACCAACCUCACUCCAACAAACAGGGGUUCUACAACAUUUGCCAUAUAAAGCCUCAAAUGGUGCCAUACCGAUGGUAGCCUGGAAACUGUUGUUAUAAGCAAACUCCAUCAAAUGUAGAUGAGAGUCCCAACUACCUGGAAACUCUAUAACACAAGCUCGUAGCAUAUCCUCUAAAACUUGGUUCAAACGUUCAGUUUGACCAUCAGUCUGUGGAUGAAAGGCUGUACUGAAAUCCAAUCUCGUACCCAUAGCAGUCUGAAGUCCCUUCCAAAACUUGGAAGUAAACCGUGCAUCCCUAUCAGAAACAAUCGAUACAGGCACUCCAUGCAGUCUCACAAUCUCAGUUAAAUACAACUCUGCCCACUUACUAGCAGUAUAAGUGGAUUUUCCUGGUACAAAAUGUGCCGAUUUUGUAAGCCUGUCUAUGACAACCAGAAUCACUGUGAAACCCUUCAGGGUCUUAGGCAGCCCUGAAAUAAAAUCCAUCGACACAUUCUCUCACUUCCACUCUGGCACACUUAAAGGUUGUAAUAAACCUGCUGGUUUCUGUCUAGGUGCCUUAACUUGCUGACAUACUAGACACUUACUAACAAAUUCCGCCACUUCCCUUUUCAUAUUCCGCCACCAGUAAAAUCGUUUUAAAUCCUGAUACAUUUUCGUGCUACCAGGAUGCAUGGAAAAUGGGGAAUUAUGGGCUUCAUCUAGUAAGUCAAUCUUAACUGUACUGUUCGCUGGCACACAUAAACGUCUUUCAAACAUCAACCCACCAUCAGAGGAUAUGGAGAACUCAUCAGUCUGCCCUGUUUCAACAAGGCGACGUCUCUCCAUCAAAUAAGGAUCACUACUCUGAGCAUCAACAAUCUUGUGCCUCAGAGUCGGUUGCACCGUUAAUUGAGCUAGCUGUGAGGUGACUCUCCCCACAGACACUGCAAUCUCAGCUCUCUCCAAGUCUCGAUGCACUGGUACCUGUCUAGUAAUGAGUGCUGCCGAAUGUGAUACUUUUCUACUAAGAGCAUCAGCCACCACAUUCGCCUUACCAGGAUGGUACAAAAUCUCACAAUCAUAGUCAUUUACUAACUGAAACCAUCUUUGCUAUCUCAUACUCAACUUCUUUUGAGUGAAGAAGUAUUUUAUACUCUUUUGGUUAGAAAAUAUCUAUAUCUUUUCAUCAUACAAAUAGUGCCUUCAAAUCAUUAAUGUAAAAACCACAACUGUCAAUUCCAUAUCAUAAGUUGGAUAAUUUUCCUCAUGACUCUUCAACUGACGAGGAGCACAAGCAACUACUUUAACUUGUUGAAUCAGAAUACCUUUUAAAUUUUCCUAAAAGAAUCACUAUAAAUUACGAAACUUUCUGAACCAUCAUGUACGGUAAGCACGGGAGUUGUACAAGCUUCUACUUAAGAUCCUGAACACUAUCCUCAUAGGCUUUGUCCCAAACAAACAGAGUCCCUUUUCUUAGUUAACUGAGUCAAAGGAGUAGCUAUACGAGAAAAUUCUUAUACAAACCGUUAGUAAUAACCUGCUAACCCUAAAAGACUAUAAACCUCACUGACUAUGAAAAGUCGAGGCCAACUAGUAACAACUUCAAUCUUUUGUGAGAUCCACAUAAAUGUCACCUCUAGAUACCACAUGGCUUGGAAAGAUACUUGGCCUCAUCCAAAACUCACAUUUUGAAAACUUUGCAUACAAUUUGUUGACUCGAAGAGCCUCUAAAACCAUGUUAAAUGUUCCUCAUGCGCUGUCUCUAUUUUGGAAUAAAUUAAGAUAUCGUCAAUAGAUACAAUCACAAAAGUGUCUAAGAGAUCGUUAAACACUUUGUUCAUCAAGUCGUAAACAUUGUUUGAGCAUUUGCCAACUCAAAAGACAUCAUAAUGAACUCAUGAUGUCCAUAUCUCGAAAGAAAAUCUGCCUUAGGAAUGUCACUGUUCUCUAAUCCUCAACAAGUCAUAACCUGAAUGUAAUUCAAUCUUAAAGAACACGGACUUAUUGCAGUUGAUCAAACAAAUCCUCAUUCAUUGGUAAAAGAUAUUUAUUCUUAACCGACACCUUAUUCAACUUUCUACAAUCGAAACAUAAGUGCAUCGACCCAUCUUUCUUCUUAAUAAACAAAAAUUGGUGCACCCCAAGAUAACAUACUUCGUCGAAUGUAGUCCUUGUCAAACAUUUCUUUCAAUUGCACCUUCAAAUCUUUCAACUCUGUUGGGGCCAUUUUGUAUGAAGCUUUAGAUAUAGGAACGAGUCUAACUCUAUCUCAAUAGGAAGACCAAUUUCUGUUUAGCGCGGUAUUCUUAGAAACUCUUCUAGAAAAAUAUCAUAAUACUUUUUCACCACUGAUUCAAAUAACAAAGAAACAUCGACUUCUCUGAUGUCUACCACACUAGUCAAAUACAACAGGUACCCUGGUCAAGCAACUUACUAACCUUCAUAGCUGGGAUAACUUUUAGCGAAACGAUAGUUCCAACCUCUUUGUACUUGAAACUAGCCUCUGGAGAAGGAUUAGAAACUACAUUUUCGCUGAACAUUUUAUGUUUACAUGGUUAAACUACAUUCCAAUUUUCAAACUCCAAACUAGUAACUUUUCAUUCACGAGAAACUCAAAAUUGUUUCUUAAAGUCACAUCAAGACAACCAUGCUCAUCUUCCUUGUUUCUUUUCCAAUACCUCCAUUCUAAAACCAUUUAAUGUGUUUCGUAUAAACUUGACCGUGUAUUUAGUCCUCUUUAAAACCACCUACAUAACUUAUUUUUCUUAGAUUUCCAAUCACAAAACAGACAUUUUCGCUAACAACGUCUUACUUUUCUACUACUCGACCACUCCUUUGAACACCUCUACAUGACAACAUUUUUCCUAAAUUUCACCAUUAAAUCCUUCACCAUUAAAUCAUAACAUUCAUGUAAUUCUAGUUUAACUUAGGCAAGGUCAUAUACAUAAACCAUACAUAUAAGCAUAAAGCAUACCUGACGAGAGACGAAGGGUCGCGUUAGCCAUAGGAACACAAAAACAUAGACUUACAUCGUAAGUCAGUCUACAGAACCUAAAACUUAGGCUCUGAUACCAACUGUAACGACCCAACUUUUCAAAGUAAGUCGAGAUCGUUAGUUUUUAACAAAUAAAAGACUUUGAUUAAUAUAAAACAAAACGUAAGCAAUUUAAAAAAAAAACAUCUUCAAGUCAGGCCUGAUUUUUAAACAUUCAAGAAAACAUAAAAUAAUACUGUUUGCAACAAACGUUUGUAAACUAAAUUUUUAUCUCAAUCUUAAAUAAGCGGAAGCAAUUACACGUUUCCUAUGGCAUCACGCUUCCUUCCUGCCCCUCGCCGGUUUGCCGCCUUUAUUACCUUUGCCUGAAAAUUAAACAUAAGAAGGGUGAGUAUUUUAAAUACUCAGUAAGAGACCCUCUACUGGUCUCGUCAGGGGAAAAAUAAAUUGUUAAAGUUCUAUUGGGACACCCUGUACAGUCGCAGUCUUGUGAUCCCGUAGGAUACACAUCUCAGUCUAACGCCCCGAAGGACGUACAUAUCAGUCUGACGCCCCGAGGGACGUACAUAUCAGUCAAGUGUUCUGCAGAACACAUAUCAGUCAAAUGCUCCCGAAGGUGCAAAAUAAAUUGGUGAUCCCGUGGGACACCUACAAGGUAAUCAUCCAAUACAACCUAACAAUUUAUCCCCUCAUUCCAUUCAACCCAUCUUUCAGAUACUUCAAAACAUAGAGUUCUUUCUCUCAACGUCCUAACAGUCAACUUAUCUCACUUUAGUCAUAUGUCUGUCAAUAAUAUACUACUAUGUCAGUCAAUCAAACUAUACAGUCAAUACACCCCUCAGAUCACCAGCACACAGUCAUACUUUAGCGUAACGACACCCAAUCUAAACGACAAUCACAAGAUCGCAUCUGCAUCUCAUACAAGCAUAAUCUACAAUUUUCGUCCUGUCCACAUCCACCCACAUAUAUAUAUAUUCCAUGACAAUCACAAUAUGCAUUCAACAUUAAGUCUACUUCAAUUCAUAUGCAUAUAUAUAUAUUUUCAGUCAAUCCACAGUAUACAUUCAACACCGAAUCUACACCCAUACGUGUAUAUACAUAUGUAUCAUCUCAACAUCUUUACUCAGUCAGGGAUAAUCAUUCAGACAUACAAUUCACAAUCAUAAGUGAGUCCAGUAGAAAAUCCCUUACUUUCAAAUUUGUUAAGCUCCUUAACCACGUUGAAGUCUAUGAAGAACGAACCUAAACAUUAAGACAAUUUCUCAAUAAUUCCCUUCAACGCAUCAGUCAUUUAAAUUCAACCCAAUGUGAAUCUUUUUGCAACUUACCCAAAUCUUCGCGAAAGAAAUCGAGCAGUGGCUUUGCGAAGAGAUGACGUGCGACGGAGAGACCGUAUACAGAUGGUCGGAGAGUCGCGCGGCAGUGCAGACAACGGAGGAGAAGGGAUCGGCGGCGGCUGGCUUGGACGGCGGUUGUGAGUGGCGGACGUGGCGGUUACUGGUUCACAUGGCGGCUCGGGCUUCGACGAAGACAGAACCGGCUGAGACGGCUGGGCAGCGGCGGAAGGUCUUGCGGUACAGAUCUGGACGGUGGUCGCAAGGUGACGCGUACGGCGGCCGCAAGGUGACGCGUACGGCUGCCUCACGAACUGGCCGAUGGUUGCAGCGACGUCCGGCUGGGUUUGGACGGAACGGAGAGGAAAAGAGAAGAUGGAGAUGGCCGACGGCGGUUGCUGUGCGAACGGAUGGGGCGGCUGCUAGGGUACCGGAAGGAGAAGAAAAGAAAAAUGAGGGAGGGGUUGUGUGCGGCGCUCGCGCGAGAGGAAGAAGGAAGGAAAGAUAUAUUCUUUUCUUUUCUUUUCUUUUUAUUUAAAUUAAGUAUAAAAAUAUAUAUAUAUAUAUAAUUAAAAACAAAAUAUAUAUAUAUACAUACCUUUGGGGCAUUACAAAAUCAAAAAGCCCUGGAAGCACCCGUUGUUUUUUUACAUAUUUCAGGUUUGCCCUUCGUUUCCAUCUUCUUUCUUCUGCAACUUUUUUUCAAACUGUUAUUUAGUUCAAGAUAGUGUACCAAAUAUAAA